rnacentral:lncRNA from 1 species
AAAAACUGAAAACAAAUAGGAAGAAAGCAAGAUGAGGCUACGGGGGAUCAAAAGCAAAAAGGAAGAAAAAGGAAAAAGCAAGGGAGGAAAUUGAGAGGGAGAGGCUGAGUAAGAGAGAAAAGGAAAAGUGGAGAGAAUAGGAAGAGAGGAAAAAGGAGAAGGGGGUGGUCGGCUGGGGGAAAGGAGAAGGUUUUUGGGAGAGAAAACAGGAGGGUUGGGUAGGAAAAGGAAUCAAGGGAGCAUAGGAAAAUUUGGAAAACAAAGAGGAGGCUGAGGAAGAAAAGCUGCGAGUAAGAAACCAAAAGGAAGCCGAGAGAGGGUUUGGGGAAGAAGGAAAGAGGAAAAGGGAAGGAAAAAGAAGGAAGGGGGAAUCUAAGAAAGGAUCUGGGAAAGAUCAGAGGGAAAAAGGAAGAAAAUUAGAAAGGAAGAGAGAGGAAAUCAGAGAGGGAAGGGAAAGGUUUUUGCAAGAAAAAUUUCGAGUUCAGGCUGAUUCAUCAGCCCGCUUCAUCUCCUAUUUCCGAUCAUACUUCUGACUAAUAGGAAGUUUUCUUCGUUUCUGUAAUAUCUGGAACUGCUAUGGAGGAGUUUUUUUUUCAGGGAAAAUUUGGGGAAAACAGUUCCAAACCAGUUGAAUUGACACUUCAAGUUGUGGUAUUAUCAGCCCCUGAAGGAAAUUUUGCAGCUCCAAAUUUAUCAUCCGAACGCAUUUCUCCAGAUUUCUCACGUGGGUUCAGUCUCCAAUCGCUUAUAGGUAAUGAUGGCUUCUAGUUUCGUUAGAUUAAUACCCUCCUUGAAGAUUGCUUCGGAUUGAUACAUGAGAUUUUGUUAAAGAUUGAGUUCUGUUCUGGCCUUGGUUGAAGAUUUCGUGAGUUUGGCUUGGGUUUUGGGGGGCAGGAGUUUGUGUCUCCUAUAGGGUAUUAUUUGGUGAAUCUAUGAAUUUCAGUUGAAGUUUAUGGCUGACACUUGUAACAAGCGAACUUAGCAGAUCACAGAUUUUUUUUUCUCUUCGGAUUUGCAUGACCGUUUUGAGAAAUUUCCAAUUUUGUGAUGAAUUUUAAAAAAAUUCUACAAAAGGGGCGAUUUUGGCGAGGGAAUCCGUCGGGGGGUCUUCGCAUACUGAGCUCGCAUUCCUGAAAUGCGAGCUCAAUAGAGCCCAGAAAGUAUAAGUCAAAUUUUUGUGCUUAUUUUUUUUCGG